UGAACUGAACUGCUACAGAAAUGCAUGUACUGUUGUAUGUGUGUAUUUGUGUUCAGUUCCCGGUUGGAGAGGGUUUCAAUCUGCUGCUGUAUCCGUUAUCUGUGAUGGGGCCGUAUGGAUCUCACACCGUUCUGAUACCAGCGACCGGGACAGAGCAGAACACACAGCGCAGCCAAACUCCACAGGCAAACAGCAGCAAGUCAGACUCGGGCAGUUCAGAGGAAGAAGCCGCUGCUCAGGUGAUCUAUAUGGUUCCCAUCAGCGUGGGUUCACCCAGCAUGGGUGUGAUGGAGGGCACGGGGCCCAAUCCUGGCCCUGGACCCCUGCAGUUCAUGGGCAGCACCACUCCUGCUGCGGCGCAGCUGGACGCUCGGGGACAGCGGGCACAGACAGAGACGCUCGCUCCAGGAGUCCUCUGACCACAGGACAACACUCGCUGAUUCACUGAUGCCAGUCUUUAAGGCGGAUGAAGUGUUGAGUUAACCUGAACGCUGCAGGAUUAAUGGGUUUAUGGUGAUUAGUGGAGAAAGCUGACUGGGCACAUUAUCAGACAGAUAAUCUCUCAACCUGCUGCACUCAAGGUGAACAUUGCAAAAUAACACAUACUAACACACUAAACACAUAUGAUGAGAGCUAGAUCAAGACAAACGGAGAACACUGAUGUUUCACUGUAAAUUUGUGUGUGGCAGAGCGAAUGCAA
rnacentral:lncRNA from 1 species